ensembl:lncRNA
CACGGCCCUGUCCUCCCCAGUUAAAGUUCUGCUCCAGUCAUUACCACGGGCCUUUCCUCCCCAAUUAAAGUGCCACCAACCUCCUGUGAAAUCCAUCCCCCAUUAAAUUUAGUGAAAAUCCCCAAAGUCAUGGUCUUUGUCCUGGUUUCAUUGGUAAGAGAAUGCCCCUCUCCCCACAGGUGUGAUUACUACCUCUGAGGGUUUAGAGCUUGAGGUAGUCACCUUAUACAAGUACUUGGGAGUGUGGCUAGAUGGUACACUGUCCUUCUCUCAGCACAUAUCAAAGCUGCAGGAUAAGGUGAAAUCUAGACUUGGUUUCCUCUAUCGUAAUCGCUCCUCUUUCACCCCAGCUGCCAAACUAACCCUGAUUCAUAUGACCAUCCUGCCCAUGCUAGAUUAUGGAGAUGUAAGUUAUAGAUUGGCCAUCAGAUUUGCCACCAAUGUUCCUCAUCCUCCACCCGUUCUGCCAGUCACCUUCUGUUAAAGGUCCCCAAAGCACACACAUCCCUGAGUCGCCCCUCUUUUCAGUUCCCUGAAGCUAGCGACUGGAACGAGCUGCAACAAAUACUCAAACUGGACUGUUUUAUCUCCAUCUCUUCAUUCAAAGACUCAAUCAUGGACACUCUUACUGACAGUUGUGGCUGCUUUGUGGGAUGUAUUGUUGUCUCUACCUUCUUGCCCUUGUGCUGUUGUCUGUGCUCAACAAUGUUUGUACCCUGUUUUGUGCUGCUACCAUGCUGUGUUGCUACCAUGUUGUGCUCCUACCAUGUUGUGUUGUCAUGUUGUGUUGCUGCCAUGCUAUGUUGUUGUCUUAGGUCUCUUUCUGUAGUGUUGUGUUGUCUCUCUUGUCCUGAGUGUGUUUUGUUCUAUAUUUUUAUUAAAUAUAUUUUUAAUCACAGCCCCGUCCCUGCAGGAGGCCUUUUGCCUUUUGGUAGGCCGUCAUUGUAAAUAACAAUUUGUUCUUAACUGACUUGCCUAGUUAAAUAAAGGAACAAAUAAAUAAAUAAAUACAUGUGGAAUCACUCCAAGGCCAUUAUGAACUUUACCCUGGUUUAAGGUGGAAUCACUCCAAGGCCAUUAUGAACUUUACCCUGGUUUAAGGUGGAAUCACUCCAAGGCCAUUAUGAACUUUACCCUGGUUUAAGGUGGAAUCACUCCAAGGCAUUAUGAACUUUACCCUGGUUUAAGGUGGAAUCACUCCAAGGCAUUAUGAACUUUACCCUGGUUUAAGGUGGAAUCACUCCAACAGCAUUAUGAACUUUACCCUGGUUUAAGGUGGAAUCACUCCAACAGCAUUAUGAACUUUACCCUGGUUUAAGGUGGAAUCACUCUAAGGCCCUUAUGAACUUUACCCUGGUUUCAUGUGAAUCACUCCAACUAUACCACAAUGCAACAUGUUUUAGUGAGACAGCCAAUGCUAAUUCUCUUGGGCUGAGUUCCAAAUAGCUCCCUAUUCCCUAAAGAAUAUAUUUUGAUUUAACACUUGUUUGGUUCCAUAUGUGUUAUUUCAUAGUUUUGAUGUCUUCACUAUUAUUCUACAAUGUAGAAAAUAGUCCAAAUAAAGAAAACCCCUUGAAUGAGUAGGUGUGUCCAAACUUUUGACUGGUACUGUUGAUCUCUAACAAAGGGGUCGUGGAAAAGGUCUGUUGAAAUGAAUACUGUAGUGGUGUGUGAAAGGUAACACAAGCUUCCUCUCUGGUUCCAUUCCCCCAAUAGUAACUGGGUCAUUAUUGGAUGGUGAAUGUCAUGCUGUCCCUGGACUGUAGCACCACAUAAAAAAAUGACAAAUACAUUUAUUUAACUGUUAUUUAAUAAGAAACCUAUGUAAAUCCUUUAUACUGAUAAACAUAUAUUUGUACAGAUUGUAGACAAUACUGGUGCCUAGAUAAAUGGGCCUCUUCCAAUGGUGAUG